rnacentral:piRNA from 1 species
UACUAAAGUCCAAAUCUACUGGGUAUGGU